rnacentral:rRNA from 1 species
GACGAACGCUGGCGGCGUGCUUAACACAUGCCAGUCGAACGGAAAGGCCCUGCUUUUGUGGGGUGCUCGAGUGGCGAACGGGUGAGUAACACGUGAGUAACCUGCCCUUGACUUUGGGAUAACUUCAGGAAACUGGGGCUAAUACCGGAUAGGAGAUCCUGCUGCAUGUUGGGGGUUGGAAAGUUUCGGCGGUUGGGGAUGGACUCGCGGCUUAUCAGCUUGUUGGUGGGGUAGUGGCUUACCAAGGCUUUGACGGGUAGCCGGCCUGAGAGGGUGACCGGCCACAUUGGGACUGAGAUACGGCCCAGACUCCUACGGGAGGCAGCAGUGGGGAAUAUUGCACAAUGGGCGGAAGCCUGAUGCAGCAACGCCGCGUGCGGGAUGACGGCCUUCGGGUUGUAAACCGCUUUCGCCUGUGACGAAGCGUGAGUGACGGUAAUGGGUAAAGAAGCACCGGCUAACUACGUG